AGAGAAGGAAGGCAAAACAAAAGCCUGAAGAGCCACCAGAUCCCCAAAGGGUCUUCAGAGAGAUUAUUCCCUGAAAUAUUUAACAGGAAGGGUUUUUCUCUCUCUCCACCUCCUCUGCUGGGAGAUGCUGGCUUUGCACCUCUGCAAAAAAAAAAAAAAAAAGCCUGCUGGGGACACAGCCUGAGGAAGGAAAAGCAGCUUCCUGCUCCUAGGGAAGAAGGCAGAAGGGAAUUUUGGAGAGAAUCAAAAGGAAUUCAAACAUGCAGAGCUGAACGCAAACAAAGCAAUUUAGUGCCUUGUCUUUGGGUAGUUCCAGAACAAAUUUGGGAGAAAACAACAAAACAGAAUGUUCUAAAAGAUUUGCUUAGAAAUUAAAAUUAAAAAAGAAAAUACCUCAAAUCAAAAAACAACAACAAGACAUGAAGUUAAAUCAGGUAUCCUGUUCCUAUCUAGUUUUGUUUGCCUUCAGCAACACAACCUUACCUGUCAAUCAACCAAAGAAAAGUUUAAAGAUCAGCAGCAUCGUAAAAUUUCUUUGUUGGAUGACAGUUUAAAGGAAAUAUGGAGUUCUAUGGAAUUUUAUGCUCAUGCUUUUCUCUUUCUUGCUUUUAGUAGUGCAAAUUUACUAGUUAGACAACCUGAAACAAAUAUUUGAGAGGUUUUAACCAAUGCAUCAGGUUUAGAUAUCAUGUGCAUUUCCUAUACACAAAGACAAAGCAGUCAAAGGGGUUUUCAUAGUUCAGAGAGAAGGGGGAGAUGUUGGAGCCCUGGAGGGUUGGGAUUUGGGGUUUUAGUGUGUAAAGGACUGUCCCUCAUGGGCAGGGGAAUGAUGCCAGAGGAGCAGAGGGCGUGGAGCAUCUCCUCCCUCUUAUCUCAGACCAGGACAAGAAGUGCAGGGAAAUCAGAAACACCCAGAUAACAAAACCACGCCAGCCUGGGGAGUUGUGUCCAUGUGAAACACCCCCUGGUGCAGGGUGGCAUUUUCCCUCAAAAAUACUCCAGUUAGCACCAAGCCAUGCCCUCCUUGUCCUCCCCUCAACAAACCAAGGAAGGGUAGGAGCAGCCAGUGAGGGAGCAGAACCCAGAGCUGCUGACCCACAGGGUGACAGCAGAGCACCAGCCCUUGUGGUGCAGAAAAACCUCCCACUCCAAGCUCUGCUUUUUACCCAAAUUCAGAAUUUAAAGGGGAGUUCUUAUCGAUAUUCUGUGACCUGCUUUAAAACCACUCCACCUGCUCGUGCCUUUCCUGCCAUGGAGGAAGUCAUGUGAGACAAAAACCUCAUUAAAUCUGAGUGCACCCGGCACAGAGGCACAGGGGAGGAGCAGUGCCCUGCAGGGCUGACCCUUCCCGAGGGGCCAGGAGCGUCCAGGACCCAGCACAUCCCUGCCUGCAGCUCUGCCUGGCUCUGCCUGGCUCUGCCUCUGCUGUCCCCAAGGAGCCGCUCCCCUCGGGCAGCACAGGGAGAAGGGCAGGGAGCCGGGCACGAAAGCACCACGGAGAAAGAAGGCAGCAGGCAGGAGUGCCACCACUGCCACCGCUGCCACCGCUGCCACCGCUGCCACCACUGCCACCACCACCAGCACGAGGGCAGGUGAGAAAAACCCAGCUUUUCCCAGGAAACCACCGGUGGCUCUUUAAAACCUUCCCCUGAGCCCUGUCUGUGCACGGAUUCCCCUCUGGAGCUCCAAACCCAUCGCGGAGGUGGAGCACGUGUAACUGCAGCGAGCCAGCAGCAGGAGGCACAAGGCACCUGCCGGGGACUUGAGAUGCUGAUAAUGUUUAGUGGAUAUUUAAAUAUUCUCCCUUCUGCUGGCGUGGGUUAUAAUAUUUAGUGGAUAUUUAAAUAUUCCCCCUUCUGCUGGGGUGGGUUAUAAUAUUUAGUGGAUAUUUAAAUAUCCCCCCUUCUGCUGGGGUGGGUUAUAAUAUUUAGUGGAUAUUUAAAUAUUCCCCCUUCUGCUGGGGUGGGUUAUAAUAUUUAGUGGAUAUUUAAAUAUCCCCCCUUCUGCUGGGGUGGGUUAUAAUAUUUAGUGGAUAUUUAAAUAUUCCCCCUUCUGCUGGCAUGGGUUACAGCACUGAUCUGUUGGGGGGUGAGGGGUUGGUAAAACUUACAGGAAAGGAAAGGUGAUUUCCAAAACUGUUCUCUGUAAAGGAAUAAUUCCAUUAAUUUCCACUAUCUUAGUGUAAAAGGUGCCUGAAAGUUUCCAGAAAUUGCACUAUUAAAACAAAAAUAAAAUCACACAGCUCACUGUAGUAAAGGGUGACAGCUUAAAAAAAGAAUCCCCUACAACUUAAAAUCAAUUUCCUGCUUAAAUUGAGUGAGGCAAAGCCGGUGAGCUUGAAGCCAGUGCAGAAGUGCUAUUAAUACAUUAACAGCUUCAAUAAAUACAUUUUACAGGUGUCACAAUCCCUAUGCUGGCCAAUCGGAAAAAAUAUCUAUUUCCUACUUAAAAAUGAGAUUUUUGGGUCAUUACCACUUUUCCUGUAGACCUGGGGUUUCAUUAAGCCACAGCAAGGAGUUGCCUUAUUUUAUUUCUGUUUUCUGAAAUAAAGCAGGGAAGCCUCAGAGGCAACCCUGUUUUAUUUUUAAUUUUUUUAUUAUUGUUUUUAUUUUUAUUUUUAUUUUUUUUUAUUAUUUUUUAUUUUUAUUUUAUUUUUAAACAUGUCUUUGGUUUGUGGUUUUUUUGGUUUUUGUUUUUUUGGUUUUUGUUUUGUUUUGUUUUUUGUUUUGUUUUUUGUGGGUUUUUUGGGGGGCGUUUUUUGGGUUUUUUUGGGUUUUUUUUGUUUUUUUGGUUUUUUGGGGUUUUUUUUGUUUUUUUGACAGCAUUUAUGAUUUUAACAGGAAAACAGCACCACAAAAGCAGAAGACAGCGGGCCCACUCUCCUCCAGCACUUCAAACCCCAGCUCCUGGGAGGAACCCAGCCCAAAACACUGCAGAGGAGAAAAAGGAAGAUGCAGAAAUAAAAGAGGCUGGCAGAAUUUUGGGUCUCUGCUCCCAGCUGGGCGAGAGCCUCCGCUGGGAUGGGAUUGUGGAGGAUCCCCGGGCAGAGGAGGAAAGGCUGCGUGUGUACAGGGGGAACAGGAGGAAAAGGUACGAAUUUUACCUCCAGGAACAGCUCCCAGCCACCAGGAAUUCCUGCAGGGAUUCCUGCAGGGGUUUUUUGGAAGAACAAGAGUGAACUGAAUGCUGAAGGAGCCUCUGAGCUGCACCAGGGGUGCCACCCAAAAAACCCCCAAAAUUUCUGUGUCUUAGCAGUGGUUACUCCCUGGCUGUGUCUCUGUUGAGUAAACAACAUUUAUAUUAAAAAAAAAAAUCAAAAACGAAAACCAAAACAAAACAAAAAAACCCCAAAAAACC